AGAACGAACGCUGGCGGCAUGCCUAAUACAUGCAAGUCGAACGAACUCUUCGGAGUUAGUGGCGCACGGGUGCGUAACGCGUGGGAAUCUGCCCCUUGGUUCGGAAUAACAGUUGGAAACGACUGCUAAUACCGGAUGAUGACGAAAGUCCAAAGAUUUAUCGCCAAGGGAUGAGCCCGCGUAGGAUUAGCUAGUUGGUGAGGUAAAGGCUCACCAAGGCAACGAUCCUUAGCUGGUCUGAGAGGAUGAUCAGCCACACUGGGACUGAGACACGGCCCAGACUCCUACGGGAGGCAGCAGUAGGGAAUAUUGGACAAUGGGCGAAAGCCUGAUCCAGCAAUGCCGCGUGAGUGAUGGAGCCUUAGGUUGUAAAGCUCUUUACCCGAGAUGAUAAUGACAGUAUCGGAGAAUAAGCCCCGCUAACUCCGUAGCUAGCAGCCGC
rnacentral:rRNA from 1 species